GAGACACUGAGAUGCAGCGGGAGUGAGAGAAAAUAAAAGAGAUUGCAGUGAUAGAAGAUGCAGAAUACACAGACACUGCAAGAGUAAAAGGGAUGGGAUCCUUACUCCUCCUCUUAGUAAUCGCAAGGGAUCAACGUGUUCCAUGUGAUCAAAGAAAGGUGAAACUUCUGUGACAACAAGAUGAAAACAGGUUUGCACUGCAUCCUGUGGGAUAUUAGAAUGAGCUGCCAAGAAGCUAGAAGACAGGUCUUUCUAGACAAAAUAUCUAGACCAUGGAGCAUAUGGCAGCCUCCAAGGAAGACAACAUGUCUCAGUCUGCUGGAGAACUCUUCCCUUGCAGGCGACUUCUUUGGGAGAUGAAGGGAGAUGCCAGGGAUUUGGAUAACGUUCACUCAUCUCAGUCUUGGGGAAAAAUCUAGAUGGGCUGAUACGUGUUUGAGGACAUUGUGGAUGACCUCCAGGGGGACCGAACUCAUCAGAAAUCAGGUAUUAAAGGGCCGCUUCACCACUCCUGUCCCAUGUGAGAAAUGCAGGCAGAAAAUAAUUUUCCACGUAUCCGGACACACUUGUUCUUCAUCCAGAUGUCUUUCAUUACCAAGAUAAUUCUCUGAACAUGUGCAACAGUGCCUGGAAAUGCAACCUGAAAUUGGAAGAAAAUAUCAAGUUUUUAAAAGAUAUUUUUAUUUUAUUUUAUGAGUUUUUAAUGAACUGUACUGUGCUUGACAACAAAUGAAUACAGAGACUUUUAUCAGCUAUUUACCUAGCAUAUGUUUGCACAUUUAGCUUUCACAUUAGAGUCAUGCUUCCUAAUAGAUAGGUACAGAACUGUAACUGAACAGAAAUCCACUUUCAGGAUGUCCUUUUAAACACUCUCACUGUCCUUAGGUACACUGAACUUUUAAAGUAAAAUAAAAUAAAAAAGAUGAUCAGUAGCAGCACCAUCUCUAAGAUAGGAAUAGAGACUUUAAUAGCACUAAUUAUGUGCACGUAAACUGACAAAAUAUCCUGCUAAAUGAACGUGUAGGUGUCCACCUUAGAGUGUGAGCAGUUAAUUGCCUUCAUCACAGUUGGAGUAAUUGCACAGAUAUAUUUGUGUAUGGGUGUAAGGGUAUGUUUCACGCAUAAUAAUUGAAUCGACAUCUCUUACUUAUUUGCUUUCAGAGAUUUUGAUACACACUGCAGCACUGGGUAAGUCCUCUGCUGUAGCUCUUCCCCUCCUCUAUGUUAGAGCAUCCAUGCAGAAAUGUUUGAAAGAAUCAGUGUGGCCAUUGCUUGUCAGAGUCUCAAGUCUCAGAGUCUUGAGCUGUUAGCUAAGAACAUGCCAGAGCUGGAAACAUCUUCUUAAGACAGAAAUUUAACUAAGUUUAACUCAGUUGAUUUUCACCUAGAACAAAAAUGACUAUACCAGAGAUUCAAAAAGACAACCCUAACAGCCUUCAAAGUGAAACCAUUUGCUCUAACUGGAUAGACAAAAACUAACAAACAAAAACAAGCAAACAAAAAAAACAAAACAAAACCCUGCCAAUAUACUGCAUCUUGGUUUCAGAUUAAAUUCUUUGCAUUUGGUAAAAUAAAUCUAGCCUUUUUAAGUUAGAAAAUAUAUAUGUAUAUAAAUAUUUACAAAGGCUGCUCAGAAAGUAAUGCCUUCUAUUUUAUUAUGUUGGCCCAUGAAGUCAGAGGUGGAUGUUGGUGGGAAGGCAGUAGAGAUUGAACCUUCCUGCCAAUAUUCUGUUACUUCUUAUUGCCAUGCAACAGAUGACAGCAGAGGGGCAGUCUGACAAAAGGAUAUCUAACAUGGAAGUGUGUAUACAGUAAAGGUGUGUCACUGAAUUCCUCCAUGCGGAAGAACUGGCACCCACUGACAUUCAUCAAUGCUUGAGGAAUAUUUAUAGGGAACAAACAGUGGAUGUGAGCACAGUGAUGCAGUGUGUGAUGCGUUUCAGCAGUGGUGACAUUGAUGGGAAAGGUAAGCCACAUUCCAGAUGACCAUGCACAACUGUCAGAACACCAAAUGAAGAGCAUCUCAAUCAGCUCACUUGCACUAAUUGGCAGAUUAUGAUCAAGGAACUGUAUAUAGAGCUCAAUAUCAGGUUCAAUGCAUUUGAAACAAUGGUGGUAAUGUUGGAAUAUUGCUAAGUUUGAGCUAGGAGGGUCCCACGAAUUCUCACACAAGGAACAGAAAGAACACUGUGUCCAAGUUUGUUAAGAUCUAUUGGACUAAUACGACGCUGAAGGUGACAGUCUCUUGCAUCACAUCAUUACUGGUGACAAGAUCCGAACUCAAAACAGCAGUCUCUGGAGUGGUGAUAUGUGAAUUCCACAUGAAAGAAGAUGUUCAAGACAGCUCUCAGCAGAUAAGUGAUUGGGAUAGGGGUGAUUUUCUGAAUUUACUAGAACCCAAACAAACCUUCAACUCUGACUGCUACGUUGCAAUCCUGACUAAGCUAAAGUCUUGAACUUUCAGAAUUAGGCCAGAGAAGAAGAGAAGACAACUUCUCUCUUGCAAUGUGAUAACACCAGGUGCUAUAUCACUUUGUAGACCAUGGAGUAUAUUGCCAAUCUUGGCUGUCCUAUCCCACACACCACGUAGCCUAGAUUUGACACCUUCUGGCUUCCAUCUGUUUGGGCCAGUCAAAGAUGGACUGUGUGGGCAACAUUUUCCCAGCAAUACACCAUCAUAGCAGCUGUGAAAAAGUGGGUUACUUCUGCUGGUGCAGAUUUUUAUAAGUGCGGCAUGCAAGUUCUUGUUCAUCACAGAUAAAAAUGCAUAGGUAAUGGUAGCGACUGUAUUGAAAAAUAGUGUUUUGUAGCUGAGAAUUUGUUCUAUCAAGUAGUGUUAUUGUGUUAUUUGAUGUCAUUUCCAUGAAAACAAUGGAGGCAUUACUUUUGGAGUGACCUUUGUGUGUAUGUGUAUGUAUAUAUGCGCAAAAUUAUAUGUAAAUUGAACGGUUUUGCCUUUGUGAAGCUAGGUGAAAAACACUCUAGAAGCAUAAGCCACAGGAACAGAAGCUGAAAUAAGAAUCCAUUGAAAUUCAUACCUCGAGUUUAUACGUUUUUAGAAGUGUAUUUUUCCCUUUCAGACUGGUGAGCUGAGGUCUUUAAUUGACAAAGAUGACCCAGUGCCUCACCCUUUACCCUCUAAACUUAAUUUUAAGUAAAACUCAUAUGCUUCUCUCUAGUGGUUCCUUUUUAAUUGCCUUGAAUGUCUGAACUCUGUUAAAAUGUUUGGAGUUUCCAAGUCCAGUUGUACACAGAAAAAAUUGCUAGUUUGCAAGCUGUAACUGAAGUCAGAGAUUAGGUAUUGAUCUCAAAAGAAAAUUACUAAGGAUUGUGGGAGAUCUUGCUCUGACAAGAAAGGAUGACUUUUGAGGCCUCCAAAGAUGCAAAAUUCUUUCAAUGAUGUGCAUUAGUGCUAAUCAGUAUGUGUUGCCAUGGUUCAGUAGAAGUCAGUGCUGAACUUCACAAAACUCUUUCAACCUUUUCUCUCUAACUGUAUAAAUGUGAAAGUAACAAUAAAUCUUGUUGACAAUUACUUCCACAUCUAUUGGCAGUCAGUCAGGUGCAAUGUGAACAGCAUUGUGCACAAUAUGGGUAGCACAGCCAACACCUAUUAACUAUCUCCCUAGUUUCUCCUGUGACUUACAGAACAUGUUAUUUUUCCCCAGUGAGUAGCCCUUUCAAAUGUUGAAUUAGUAAUAUUAGCACCAAAUACUACUAAUUUGUCAGCCAGGCUGUGUUUUUCCAAAGUGUUCACAAUAGGGGCUGAUAACUGCUUUGCAGUUCAGCAGAGCAAAGAUGAAAAUUCAGAAACUUUCUAAAUCAUUUGUAUAAGACUCAAAGUAGGUUUUUGUUUGUUUGUUUGUUUGUUUUUGUUUUGUAACCACUAGAAUAUUCAAUAUGUGUGUUUAAAAAAGAAAAAAAGUGGCAUUUCAGCUUCACUCAGCAAGAUACUUAACUGCAUGGUAAUAUGGAAGUAUAUAUUUAGGUUCUUUGAAGAACCAGAGCUAGAAACAUUUUUAAUAGCAUGAAAUCUUUGUUCAAAGAACACAUUGUCAGGACCACCUUUGUAUUUUCAGAUUUUAGUGGCUAGCUUAACUAAUAUUUAUGAAGAAGUAAAUCUCUCUGCUAUAAAUAACAAUUUUCUAUUGUAUAUAAUGCAUUCAUUGCUUGAACAGUUUUCAUUGACAUCAGUAUGAAACCUGUGCAAAUAAUUUUGUAGCAUAUGAAACUGAAAAUCACAAAUGGUUGAGGGUUGAUAGUGUUACUUUUCUAUUCAGUCUUCUUAUGCAAUUCUUACAAGCAAGUGCACAAAUACUUUUAUGUGAAAGCAUACAUACAGAAAUAUGUGAAAACAUAAAUAGACUGACUAUCUAAUUUUCAUGAGUUUGUAGAUAUCUACCGUUGGUAAAAGAAUGGCAUUCAUUAGUCAACAGAGAUUUGCUGUGGACAUAUGAGAAGUUCAGUCAGCCUCUUUCCUUUCAUGAUAUGUCUUGUUUUCAACUCAUGCUUGGUUAAACCCAGGAUAUGAAUGAUAAGUAAGUAACGGUCUGUUACAGAUAAAACUGUCUAUGGUUUUUUCCAUUACAAGAUUCACAAAAGGUCAGCAUUAUGCUGAGUUAUUUAGUAUACGGAGGGAAAGGUAACCAGUUUGGUGACUAGGGAAGAUCUAUAGGAAGUCUUUGCCAGAAUAAAAGCUUAAAGGAAGUUUGUGAAUUGUGUGAUUAUGCAAGGAGUUUCAUCCAUAUGUGUACAGCUCUCUUUUUUAAAAAGAGAGAGGUUUUAAUCUAAUCAAAGAUUGGAUGACAUUACAGGAAUUUUGACUGUAGAGAGAGCUUAUGUUACUGAGCAGCUUUGUUAGCUUUCACUGCCUGGAAGUUUCCUCACUUCUAAGACCAGUCACACACUGGGAAGGGUGACUUCUAUGACUGCCAGUCAUCUCUUACAUGGACUAAUGAUUCAAUUCCAAUUUCUAAAGGAGUCAGAGCAGUCCGCAGUCUCCCUUGUCUGCGAGUCAAAAAUACGUGCUAGGUUUUCAGCUGAAUCAUAAAAUUCAUCAUGAAUUUUGAUAACAUUUUAGGAUGACUUUGUGCUGCUUUUAUGAGCUCUAAAAGCUGUAUUAUAAGAAAAUACAUAAUGAAGGAAGAAUUGUAUUUAUUGUAUUUAGUUCCUGAUAAAUCAAUGUUCGAAAAGAAAAGAAAGAAGAGAAAAGAAGAGAAGAGAAGAGAAGAGAAGAGAAGAGAAGAGAAGAGAAGAGAAGAGAAGAGAAGAGAAGAGAAGAGAAGAGAAGAAAAGAAAAGAAAAGAAAAGAAAAGAAAAGAAAAGAAAAGAAAAGAAAAGAAAAGAAAAGAAAAGAAAAGAAAAGAAAUAAUAUAUUGCGAAUGAGGACUCUCAGACAAUACUGUCAAGUCAGAUAAUCAGCUGAGAGGUCAGAGUGCCUUGAGCUGAAUGGUGUCAGAGAUGCGGUGGAAGGUGCUUUGGGCUUGAUACAUCAUCUCUCUUCAGCCUCCCCAAGAAUUUUAAACAGGAAGGGCAAAAGAUGUUUCCAGGAUGAAUUCAUUCAUUCAUAUACAAAUACCCUAAGUCACAAAAAAGGUGUCUUAGCAACAACAGCAGUGCAAUAACGUUGAGUACACCAGGUCCUCAGUUGUACGCCACUCCCAACCAAACAACAAAACAAAACAGACAGAAACAACAACAACAACAACAAAAUGAACUUGAAAGAAGAAAUGGUCUGGUUGGGCUCUGGUAAUCCAUAUUUUAAAAAUUACAAGUGUCACAGGUAAUUUGAAGGCAGAUCAGGCAUCUUCUAAAUCAAAAUGUGUGGACCUCACUAGAAAAUACUACCAACAGUUAACAGUUAUAAAGGUAAAUAGGAACAAUUUCCAAUAGUUUAUUUUCAAAAGCAGUUAGUUGUUAACCCUAUUAAAAGUAAGUUAUGAUUUUCAAAAUGUCACGUCUUGUUUUUGUUUGCUUCAGCUUACAUAGAUGUUAUCUUCAUAAUAUGAUGACUGCUCUUUAAUAUUGACCAAUUGUCAUUGCACUUCACUGGCAAAAAAAAGAAAAAAAAAUCACAGGGUGUUAAGAUGAUUAAUGUAACUGUCAGGAAAAAUGUUAAUAAAUUUAUCUUAUCUACCUCAUAUACAAAGACAUAAUAUAUAUCAGGGUUUAUAUGCUUCAUUCACUUUGCAAAGCACAGCCUCUGACUUAAGUAAAUGUAUGCUAAAUUAUGAAUGUGAAAAGAAACAGAAAGAGGAAAAAGCAAGCUAUUAUUUUUUUUUUUAAUUUUAAAUCAGUCUUCAGAAACAAAUCUUUUUACCAUAUGUUUACACAAAACAUAGUCCUCACCCUGAUUUGAAGUUUUGAACAGCGCAGAGUUAUUAAUUAAAUUUUUAAUAAUUAAAAACAGUUUCUGUGAAAAGAAAAUCCAUGGAUCAAAAUAGAGAGAGAGGUGAUAUUGCAAUAUCCUGUGAGCAAACCUAGGCUUUGUGCCUUUUCCCCAUUGAUUAGAAUAAACUUUCAGCACAACCCUGGUUUGUUCCUUAGACAAGGAGCGUGGGUACCAGGCAGCUGUGUGGAAUCACUGCUGACCAGACUUUGCCUGUUGGAGCCUGUCCUCAGCAAUGUGUUCUGGGAGGCAACAUUUCUCUUAUUCACUGUGUAUAAUGCAAAAGGAGGACUCACUAGCUGUAUCAAGAAAAUAUACAGCACAUUUCAUUUCAAUUUUUUUUUUCACAAUAUUUUCAACUAAGAAGGGAACAUUAACAGAACAGAAAUGUCUUUAGGUUCAACAUCAUGUGGCAUACCUUCCCUCAGUCUUUUCCUAAGCACUUGGAGUUGGGCAUAUAUAACAAACAUAUUCUUGGUCCUCUUUCAGCAGACCUAAUGUGUCAAUAUGUAGAUAAGAUGAUAGGUGCAAUUUGGAACAGUGACAUUUUUGUUUUCCUUCUUUUUCCCCAGUGACUAAUUCACCCAGACAUUGCAACUGGUUAGUGACCAGAAGAGUUGAGUAACUCUGGUUGUACAUUUCAUAUAGUUUUAAUGGUUUUAGCCUCCUAGAUGUAUGUAUAAAACUCUGAAGAAUUUAUCCAGAUCAUACUUUGAAAGCAGCUUUUCUUCUCUGGUGCUUUGAAUGUUGUUGAUAGUGUGGAACACUUCUGAGCACUUGUUUGAGUGCUGUGCUGGAGCUUUCUGUUUCCAGUAAAAAACUGAUGGAGAUCAACACUUUUUUGACACUCCUUGUACCAAGUGCUUAUAAAGUGUUUAUAUCUAUAAUUGUGUCAAAUUAUGCUAAUUAAGUGCUGAAAGACACUAGUAAGUUGAAGUACUCAAAAAGUGCAUUACUCUGAGUGUCACCCGGGGGCUCUUCACAGCAGACACUUGGGGGACAAUUUUUUUCUUUCCAAGCACCUUUAGAGCACUUUGUAUUAAAGUGUCUUUCUGACAUUAAUUAAAUUAAAAAAGCAAGUGACAGUUAAGUGCACAUGAUUUACUCUAAUCUUUUGAAAUGCAAAUGUAUUUUAGACUAAAAUGCCCUUCCUUUUUUACAAUUCUCCGUUUUCCUCCUCCAUUGUCUCCCACACCUUUUUUUUAUUGAGUAAUCAGUUGCUAAAAACAGCUUUGAUAAAGGCUGGGAAUUAACUCAAUUAUGAAUGAUUAGGCAGAAAAAUUGAACGAUUCAAAGAUCAAAUAACAAUGAUAGGGUUUCUAAUAACCUUAUGAGAAAAGAUCAUUGCUUAGGGGUAAUGCUGUAGAGACCUGUGCUGCUCUCAGAUUUUUGUCUACCCCGUCUCCAGGGUUACUCAUUAAUUCUAUGCUGAAGAAUUCUAGGGCAGCUGCAGAAGACAAGAGAUAUGAUUUUCUUCCAGUGAACAAAGGAGAUGUUCGUCAUUAGCCAUACACUGGUUACGCACUAAUGAGUUCUCAAAUACUAAGUGGUUUGGCCAAGGUGGUCUAGUAAAAUGGAAACUUAUGUCACACAUUAGAUGAUUGAACUCUGCUGUUCUAAGAUGGAAAACCUUUGUAUAGCACUACAGGUAUUUAGAAUGAGAAUACAUUUAAAACAAAAACAAAAACAAAACAAAACAAAAAAAAAAACACCCUUUGUUUCCAAAGAAAAACUCAGAGACAGCAGUGCAAGGACACCAAAAUUUAAUACAUGCCUUCCCGAAGAGUGAAAAUAGAAUAAAAUCUGAAGUCUGAUAAAAAAAUAAACAGGCACUUUUAGGAGUGUUAUUAGUGAAUAUCCUACUUCAAGGGUUAUUCUGUUUCAUGAUAAAAUAUUUUUGUAGGUGUGCAGAUAACAAUCCUUAUGUUACCUAAUUCUGACUAGACUCUAUUAAAAUGAUUUUUUCACUUUUCUGAGAAACUGUAUUUAAUCCCUAUGUCAAUGUGCUGAGAAAGAUAGUAAAGAUAUAUCUGAACUUUAAACAUCUUUAAUCUUUCUCUUUAGCUUUCAUUCUUGUUGCACAGUCUCAGCAAUCAGAUUUCAACACUCCAUUCCUCAGAAAAACUUACAGAUUUAGAAACCAUAGGGAGAUAAGAUUCUCCUUUGACCCAAAGACACAUUCUGCUAUCUUACAUCUUUGGAAAGUCUUUUAAGUAGUGAUGUCUAUUGAAAUUUUCUAAAUAGAUAGAAUUUUAUUUGGUAAUGACUAGAUCGUUAUCAGGCAGGUGACAGGAGUCCACGGGGGAAUAGAGGUGAGUUGCUCCAGGUAAAGAGACAUCCCAGACAGUCCUCACUAGAAGCAUUAUCUAAAAGGUCCUUCGUAGCCUGGAGUUAGUAAACUGAAUUGUUCUUCACGUCAUUCUCCUGGGAAGGAUGUCGAUCUCACAAGUGUCGCUCUCAAUGCAGCAGGAGUGAAGAAGCCAAGAACUCAGUAAACACUGAGCUUGUUUUGCCAGUUAAAGUAAGUUAGUUUUCAUAAGGAUGAAAAAGUGCCUCCAGAGACAACACAUUGCUGAGAAGAAUUAGACGACCAAAGCUGCAGAAGGGACUGCAUCUUUGGGGACACCCCAGAAGUCCAGCACCACAAAAGUCCCUCACAAUACACAUAGAAAUACUGAGGCCAAGAUGGUGCAAGGCAGAGAUGACAUUUCAGUACAAGAAAUCAGCAAGCAGGAGAGAUCUGAGCCAGCAGUGAAGUCUGCAGUGCUGAAACCAUCAGGAGCAUGAACAGCCUGGCUUCAGUUUCUGUCCAUUGUUGACAUAGAAUCCACAUCGCCUGGUGGCCAGGAUGUUAACUGGAUACAGAAACUGGAAGCAGAAUUCCUUUCCCCCAGGACACUGGAAUGGAUGUUGUGACUAUGAUACCUCGUUACAUGGUUUUAACGUCGCUGCAUUAGACAGCCAUAAUGUGGUAAACUGGGUGUAGG
rnacentral:lncRNA from 1 species